GACGAACGCUGGCGGCGUGCCUAACACAUGCAAGUCGAGCGAGAAGCUUAUGAACGAGCCUUCGGGCAAGUGAUUAAGUGGAAAGCGGCGGACGGGUGAGUAACGCGUGAGUAAUCUGCCUUAAGGAGGGGGAUAACACAGAGAAAUCUGUGCUAAUACCGCAUAACAUAUAUCUUUCGCAUGUUAGAUAUAUCAAAACUCCGGUGCCUUAAGAUGAGCUCGCGUCCGAUUAACUAGUUGGUGAGGUAAUGGCUCACCAAGGUUACGAUCGGUAGCCGGACUGAGAGGUUGAACGGCCACAUUGGAACUGAGACACGGUCCAGACUCCUACGGGAGGCAGCAGUGGGGGAUAUUGCGCAAUGGGGGAAACCCUGACGCAGCAACGCCGCGUGAAGGAAGAAGGUCUUCGGAUUGUAAACUUCUGUCCUUGGUGACGAAGAAAGUGACGGUAGCCAAGGAGGAAGCCCCCGGGCUAACUACGUG
rnacentral:rRNA from 1 species